CAUAACCUCCGUGAACAUACACAAGCCUGCCAUUCGCUACUUUCAUAAGAUCCUAGCUCACACCUUAUUUGGAAAGGAACAGAACAUAACCUCCGUGUCCAAAGACGAAUUCUUUAUAAUGUGUUGUGCAUCACAGGCCCGACAUGUUAACGCCGCUACAAUUAUGAUAGCUAAUUUGGAUCGUAUAACACAGGAUAACCAUGGACCAAUCUUAGUGACCAUGAUAGCAAAUUCCAUUGGACUGAAACAUCCACUU
rnacentral:lncRNA from 1 species